rnacentral:rRNA from 1 species
GGAUAACCUGCCUCAAGGCUGGGGAUAACAUUUGGAAACAGAUGCUAAUACCGAAUAAAACUUAGUAUCGCAUGAUAUCAAGUUAAAAGGCGCUACGGCGUCACCUAGAGAUGGAUCCGCGGUGCAUUAGUUAGUUGGUGGGGUAAAGGCUUACCAAGACGAUGAUGCAUAGCCGAGUUGAGAGACUGAUCGGCCACAUUGGGACUGAGACACGGCCCAAACUCCUACGGGAGGCUGCAGUAGGGAAUCUUCCACAAUGGGCGCAAGCCUGAUGGAGCAACGCCGCGUGUGUGAUGAAGGCUUUCGGGUCGUAAAGCACUGUUGUAUGGGAAGAAAUGCUAAAAUAGGGAAUGAUUUUAGUUUGACGGUACCAUACCAGAAAGGGACGGCUAAAUACGUGCCAGCAGCCGCGGUAAUACGUAUGUCCCGAGCGUUAUCCGGAUUUAUUGGGCGUAAAGCGAGCGCAGACGGUUGAUUAAGUCUGAUGUGAAAGCCCGGAGCUCAACUCCGGAAUGGCAUUGGAAACUGGUUAACUUGAGUGUUGUAGAGGUAAGUGGAACUCCAUGUGUAGCGGUGGAAUGCGUAGAUAUAUGGAAGAACACCAGUGGCGAAGGCGGCUUACUGGACAACAACUGACGUUGAGGCUCGAAAGUGUGGGUAGCAAACAGGAUUAGAUACCCUGGUAGUCCACACCGUAAACGAUGAAUACUAGGUGUUAGGAGGUUUCCGCCUCUUAGUGCCGAAGCUAACGCAUUAAGUAUUCCGCCUGGGGAGUACGACCGCAAGGUUGAAACUCAAAGGAAUUGACGGGGACCCGCACAAGCGGUGGAGCAUGUGGUUUAAUUCGAAGCAACGCGAAGAACCUUACCAGGUCUUGACAUCCUUUGAAGCUUUUAGAGAUAGAAGUGUUCUCUUCGGAGACAAAGUGACAGGUGGUGCAUGGUCGUCGUCAGCUCGUGUCGUGAGAUGUUGGGGUUAAGUCCCGCAACGAGCGCAACCCUUAUUGUUAGUUGCCAGCAUUCAGUUGGGCACUCUAGCGAGACUGCCGGUGACAAACCGGAGGAAGGCGGGGACGACGUCAGAUCAUCAUGCCCCUUAUGACCUGGGCUACACACGUGCUACAAUGGCGUAUACAACGAGUUGCCAACCUGCGAAGGUGAGCUAAUCUCUUAAAGUACGUCUCAGUUCGGACUGCAGUCUGCAACUCGACUGCACGAAGUCGGAAUCGCUAGUAAUCGCGGAUCAGCACGCCGCGGUGAAUACGUUCCCGGGUCUUGUACACACCGCCCGUCACACCAUGGGAGUUUGUAAUGCCCAA